rnacentral:rRNA from 1 species
GAUGAACGCUGGCGGCGCGCCUAACACAUGCAAGUCGAACGGUUAAAGCACCUUUUAGGUGUGUAUAAAGUGGCGAACGGCUGAGUAACACGUGGGCAACCUGCCCUCCUCUUGGGGAUAGCCUCGGGAAACCGAGGAUAAUACCCGAUACUUCAAUGUGGCCGCAUGACGACAUUGAGAAAGCUUUUGCGGAGAGGGAUGGGCCCGCGGCCUGUUAGCUUGUUGGUGGGGUAGAGGCCUACCAAGGCAAUGAUGGGUAGCUGGGUUGAGAGACCGACCAGCCAGAUUGGGACUGAGACACGGCCCAGACUCCUACGGGAGGCAGCAGUGGGGAAUCUUGCACAAUGGGCGAAAGCCUGAUGCAGCGACGCCGCGUGCGGGACGAAGGCCUUCGGGUUGUAAACCGCUUUCAGCAGGGACGAGGCGAUAAGUGACGGUACCUGCAGAAGAAGCCCCGGCUAACUACGUG